rnacentral:misc_RNA from 1 species
AAACAGUCUAAAUAUGCUGAUAACAGACUUAGUAAGAGGGAAUUCCGAACGUUUGUACAACUGGUGGUCGAUGAAAUGCCAGGAGCAGAUUCCUUUGAUUACUUUGUUGAGUUCCUAGUCAAUAGUGUGGAGCGAUCCUAUGCUGAAAGGAUCCGUGGAGAAGCCAGAAAGAAGUGGCUGCAGCAGAUAGUGACAGCAGCAGAGACUGGUGGAGCAAGCAUGGAACCAGUUUACAGGGCUGUAUUCAAUGCCCUUUAUAAGGAUGCUGAGGCACAUGGUGGAGGAAAGAGAAUAAGUGCUAAUAUAGCCAUGCUGGAGAGAAACACCAUGGAUCCUGACCGAGGCAGCGUCUGCCUACGUUAUGUGGCAGCUACCAUGGAGGAUGCUGACUACCUCCUAGGAAAAAUUCUGUACAAAGACAUGAAAGGCAUCAGUUUUGCUGCAGUAGAAAGUGGUAAACCAAUCCAUGUUCCAAGAGUGGCUAACCAUGGAAACAUUCAGUUCUGGAAUCCAUAUAGGCAACCAGAGGACAGGGAGGGCUCCUUUAUUGUGGUGCCACUGAAGGACAAGAGGAAGAGAGUGUUUGGCUUGCUGGGCAUUGACACCAUGAAUGAUCACCACACCAAAACCAUCUUCAUCACUCAUGAAAUUCAGUUCUUCCAGGGAGUGGCCAAAUCUUUCAGUAUUUCAUACCACAACAUAGAUAUGAAGAAGAAACUUCUAAGAAUUACAGAAAGUGCAGUCUCCUGGAUUCAUCGCCGAAGUCCGCAUGUACAAGAAAUCGUUACUUACAUGGUGGAACCGGGCAUGGAUCAGAGCGACUACAUCUUGCGGAAGAUGAUGAUUACGGAUGAGAAGGGUAACGUCCAGAACCUGCUCAGUCCACCAAGGCUUGAGAGAAAGGAUAACUUGUUUAGAGAUUAUUUAUUCAAGUGUGUAGACAACUCAGAGACAGUAUCAGCGGAUGCCUAUGGACAGCGCCAUCUAGCGUUCCCUCUCCGUGACGACCAAGGUAAAGCCGUGGCAGUGGUGGACAUUAGUAUAGGAGAACUCAAGAACUUACCCGAGCACGAGAACAGGGAGGUUCAACGAAUGCUCAAACUUCUGAACCAGGCUCACAAGGAAAUCACAAAAGAGUUCUCUGGGGAGGCAGAUAAAACCGUGGUUCUAGAGGCUGAAAAAGACGAUGACAACAGAAUGGACAUUAUGUUUGACAGACUUAUGCUGAUGGAACUCAGAGAAAAUGUGUCCAAAAUUGACUCCAAGUCUUUUGCUGAAUUACGUAGCUACAAUGAGCCGCCUAAGAUUGUGCAGAAUAUUGUCAAGGCAGUGGUUGCCAUCUUCCAUUUGGAGCAGGUGGAGAGUGGAGAACUGGAUGAUUGGACCAACCUGAGAAAUUUUAUCAACAAUGAACUGCUGCAAAAGAUAACAGAAUAUGAUCCCACAGCAGCCAGUGACCAUGCUCUCAUCCCUCCAGAAAAACUAGAAGUCUUCUUGAAAGAUGUACCCCAUGGAGAGGUUGGAAAGUUUGGAUCAAUUCCUGCCCAGAAUAUGUAUAACUGGGUGUUUGUAUGUAUCUCGCUGAUUGAGCACACGAUAAAAAUGAGGGAGAACAACGGAGGCAAUGUGGCUGCCUCUACACAUCACUCCGACACAACACGCUAAAAUGAGAAUAUGACCUUUGACCCACAAGAUUGAAACCUAAAAUACAUUCAUUAGACAUUAUUGUUUUAAAUCAUAUAUGACUUUUUAAGAUUGUUACGACAUAAUACCACUUAUAUACACCAAAAAUAUAUUUAUUUUUUUAUCACAGAUUAAAAAAAUGAUGUGCUAUAUUGAUGUACAUAUUGAUGCUCCUUCGUCACAUACUGUAGUAUAAUUUUAUCUGUGAUACUUGGAAACAUUGUAUUAUGUGCGAUAUUAAAACUGAUGCUUAAAAUAUCAAAUUGAAUAUUUCCAUUUUUGUUGAGUAUACAAUGUCACUUUUGUAUUGUUUUCCACUGACUGCCAACUCAGCUGCUAUGUUUUACAGUACUUAGAUACAAACAAUGACUAUUAAAAUUGUUUCUUUGUUGUCAACUAUGUACAUGUCAUGAAAAUUGGUUUAAACAAUUUCUUGAACUGUAAUCUGUGAUCCCACUUUGAAGAAUUAAUUUUCUUUACUUUCUACUGCUUUUGAUGUUAUUGAAUAUGAUGUUAGUGCAUGCAUAUUGGUGUACUGAUCAUUAAAUUAAACACAAAUGAAAGGAU